AGUAAUAUAUCGGAACGUGCCCAGUAGUGGGGGAUAACUGCUCGAAAGAGCAGCUAAUACCGCAUACGACCUGAGGGUGAAAGGGGGGGGAUCGCAAGACCUCUCGCUAUUGGAGCGGCCGAUAUCAGAUUAGCUAGUUGGUGGGGUAAAGGCCUACCAAGGCAACGAUCUGUAGUUGGUCUGAGAGGACGACCAGCCACACUGGGACUGAGACACGGCCCAGACUCCUACGGGAGGCAGCAGUGGGGAAUUUUGGACAAUGGGCGCAAGCCUGAUCCAGCAAUGCCGCGUGCAGGAAGAAGGCCUUCGGGUUGUAAACUGCUUUUGUCAGGGAAGAAAUCCUCUAGGUUAAUACCCUUGGGGGGAUGACGGUACCUGAAGAAUAAGCACCGGCUA
rnacentral:rRNA from 1 species